rnacentral:misc_RNA from 1 species
UUAAGUUCAGCGGGUAGUCUUACUUGAUUUGAGAUCGAGUUUUACAAGAGGCUGUUGCCAGUCCCUUGUGAAAUCCUGCAUCAGUCAGCUAAUGCGGUCAGACUCCCUUUAUGUUAGCUGCAGCAAAAGUAAUAAUCCGUUUGACGGGACUAAAUAAAUAUGCUUAUAGCUCAGGAGAAAGUCCAGCUGCACCUGCAUUU